rnacentral:rRNA from 1 species
CCUACGGGAGGCAGCAGUGGGGAAUAUUGGGCAAUGGAGGCAACCCUGACCCAGCAACGCCGCGUGAAUGAUGAAGGUCUUCGGAUUGUAAAGUCCUGUGAUGGGGGAUGAACACAAUGACGGUACCCCAAUACCAAGCCACGGCUAACUACGUGCCAGCAGCCGCGGUAAUACGUAGGCGGCAAGCGUUAUCCGGAAUGACUGGGAGUAAAGGGUGCGUAGGUGGGUUAGUAAGUUGGCGGUGUAAUUCCGGGGCUUAACCUCGGCGCUACUGCCGAAACUAUUAGACUAGAGUGCAGGAGAGGUAAGUGGAAUUCCAGGUGUAGCGGUGGAAUGCGUAGAGAUAAGGAGGAACAUCAGGGGCGAAGGCGACUUACUGGACUGUAACUGACGCUGAGGCACGAAAGCGUGGGGAGCAAACAGGAUUAGAUACCCUUGUAGUC